rnacentral:rRNA from 1 species
GACGAACCGUGCGAACGUUAUUCGGAAUCACUGGGCUUAAAGCGCGUGUAGGCGGGACGGCACGUCGGUCGCUGAAAUCCCCCGGCUUAACCGGGGAACGGGCGUCGAUACGACCGUCCUGGAGGGGCGUAGGGGGACCUGGAACUUCCGGUGGAGCGGUGAAAUGCGCAGAUAUCAGGAGGAACACCGGUGGCGAAGGCGGGUCUCUGGGCAGUAACUGACGCUGAGGAGCGAAAGCGUGGGGAGCGAACGGG